AAUGACCCUUUACUCAGCAAGGGUGGCAUCCAGAUAAGCAGAUUGCUAGAGCCUUCCUGUCAGCUUAUGUUAACAGCGCAUUCAAUUGCCAUCUGACAUGAUGUAACACACCACCGUGACGGACAUGUCCCUGUUGGGCCUGCUGGGCCACCGGAGAAAUGAUGAAACGAGAACCUGUCUACAUGGAGGGAGAGCCACCCCACAAAGUGCUCAGGGCUUAUUCACUUCCUCUGUGCUCCCAGGGCAAUUCCUUCCUCUCCUUCCUUUGGGUGAGCACCUGGUGCCCACCCACACUUCCCAGGCCAAGGGAAGGUCAGAUGGACAGAGGCUUCAGUCUUAAGCAGGGGGAGUUCAAGGUUUGUUUCCGGUUUCCAUCAUUUGCAACAGACAAAGUCAGGACCAAUACACAAAGCCCAUCGGCUCCAAAGGCUCAGCAUACAGAAUCCACCAAGGCCUCUCACAUAACCUGCUCUGCCCUUUGGGGCAGCAGGAGAUGGGCUGCCUCUCCCAGAGGGGCCAAUGGAUCUGAAUCUGUGCUGGCAAUAUCCCCUCAAUGCCCCUCCUUAUUUAACUUUUGUCCUUUUCCUCUACUCCCUGAUCCAGUUUUCUAUUUUUUUUUUAACCUUCUUUCCUUUCCUUCUUUCUCUUUCCUAAUUUUACUGGGUUUUUA
rnacentral:lncRNA from 10 species